rnacentral:rRNA from 1 species
UACGUAGGGUGCAAGCGUUGUCCGGAAUCAUUGGGCGUAAAGAGCUCGUAGGCGGUUUGUCGCGUCUGCUGUGAAAACUGGAGGCUCAACCUCCAGCCUGCAGUGGGUACGGGCAAACUAGAGUGCGGUAGGGGAGAUUGGAAUUCCUGGUGUAGCGGUGGAAUGCGCAGAUAUCAGGAGGAACACCGAUGGCGAAGGCAGAUCUCUGGGCCGUAACUGACGCUGAGGAGCGAAAGCGUGGGGAGCGAACAGG